rnacentral:rRNA from 1 species
CACGUAGGGGGCGAGCGUUGUCCGGAUUUAUUGGGCGUAAAGAGCUCGUAGGCGGCUCAGUAAGUCGGGUGUGAAAACUCCAGGCUCAACCUGGAGACGCCACCUGAUACUGCUGUGGCUAGAGUCCGGUAGGGGAGCAUGGAAUUCCUGGUGUAGCGGUGAAAUGCGCAGAUAUCAGGAAGAACACCAACGGCGAAGGCAGCUCGCUGGGACGGUACUGACGCUGAGACGCGAAAGCGUGGGGAGCGAACAGG